GGUUUGAUGGUGUAGUUGGUUAUCACGUCAGUCUAACAUCCACUGGAUGGUUUCACUGAAGGUCGGGAGAUCGAGCCUCCCUCGAAUCA